rnacentral:rRNA from 1 species
AUUGAACGCUGGCGGCAUGCUUUACACAUGCAAGUCGAACGGUGACAGGCCGCAAGGUGCUGACGAGUGGCGAACGGGUGAGUAAUGCAUCGGAACGUGCCCAGUCGUGGGGGAUAACGCAGCGAAAGCUGUGCUAAUACCGCAUACGAUCUGUGGAUGAAAGCGGGGGACCGUAAGGCCUCGCGCGAUUGGAGCGGCCGAUGUCAGAUUAGGUAGUUGGUGGGGUAAAGGCUCACCAAGCCGACGAUCUGUAGCUGGUCUGAGAUGACGACCAGCCAAACUGGGACGGAGACACGGCCCAGACUCCUACGGGAGGCAGCAGUGGGGAAUUUUGGACAAUGGGCGCAAGCCUGAUCCAGCAAUGCCGCGUGCGGGAAGAAGGCCUUCGGGUUGUAAACUGCUUUUGUACGGAGCGAAAAGGCUCCCUCUAAUACAGGGGGCUCAUGACGGUACCGUAAGAAUAAGCACCGGCUAACUACGUGCCAGCCGCCGCAGUAAGAC